rnacentral:tRNA from 1 species
GAGGAUGUGGCUCAGUGGUAGAGUGCUAGUCUAGCAUGUAUGAGGUCUUGGAUUCAAUCCCCAGCAUUCCA